rnacentral:rRNA from 1 species
AUGCGAGUUGUGCGGGUUCAGACCCGCAGCGAACGGCUCCGUAACACGUGGUCAAGCUACCCUGCGGACUGGGACACUCUCGGGAAACUGAGGCUAAUCCCAGAUAGCGUUUCCAGCCUGGAGUGGCGGAAACGCCAAACGCUCCGGCGCCACAGGAUGCGACUGCGGCCGAUUAGGUAGACGGUGGGGUAACGGCCCACCGUGCCGAUAAUCGGUACGGGUAGUGAGAGCUAGAGCCCGGAGACGGACUCUGAGACAAGAGUCCGGGCCCUACGGGGCGCAGCAGGCGCGAAACCUUUACACUGCGCGACAGCGCGAUAGGGGGAUCCCAAGUGCGAGGGCAUACAGUCCUCGCUUUUUCCUACCGUAAGGUGGUAGGCGAAUAAGAGCUGGGCAAGACCGGUGCCAGCCGCCGCGGUAAUACCGGCAGCUCAAGUGAUGGCCACUAUUAUUGGGCCUAAAGCGUCCGUAGCUGGCUAGACAGGUCCGUCGGGAAAUCCACCCGCUCAACGGGUGGGCGUCCGGCGGAAACCAGCUAGCUUGGGACCGAGCGACCUGAGGGGUACGUCCGGGGUAGGAGUGAAAUCCCGUAAUCCCGGACGGACCAUCGGUGGCGAAAGCGCCUCAGGAGAGCGGAUCCGACAGUGAGGGACGAAAGCUAGGGUCUCGAACCGGAUUAGAUACCCGGGUAGUCCUAGCCGUAAACGAUGCUCGCUAGGUGUGGCGCUGGCUACGAGCCAGCGCUGUGCCGUAGGGAAGCCGUGAAGCGAGCCGCCUGGGAAGUACGUCCGCAAGGAUGAAACUUAAAGGAAUUGGCGGGGGAGCACUACAACCGGAGGAGCCUGCGGUUUAAUUGGACUCAACGCCGGACAUCUCACCGGCACCGACUGUAGUAAUGACGGUCAGGUUGAUGACCUUGCCACGAGUUACAGAGAGGAGGUGCAUGGCCGCCGUCAGCUCGUACCGUGAGGCGUCCUGUUAAGUCAGGCAACGAGCGAGACCCGUGUCCCUAAUUGCCAGCAACACCGAGAGGUGGUUGGGUACAUUAAGGAGACUGCCGCUGCUAAAGCGGAGGAAGGAACGGGCAACGGUAGGUCAGUAUGCCCCGAAUGUGCCGGGCUACACGCGGGCUACAAUGGCCGGGACAGUGGGAUGCAACACCGAGAGGUGGAGCUAAUCUCCGAAACCCGGUCGUAGUUCGGAUUGCGGGUUGAAACUCACCCGCAUGAAGCUGGAUUCGGUAGUAAUCGCGUCUCAGAAGGACGCGGUGAAUACGUCCCUGCUCCUUGCACACACCGCCCGUCAAAGCACCCGAGUGAGGUCCGGAUGAGGCCGGCGCAACGCCGGUCGAAUCUGGGCUUCGCAAGGGGGC